rnacentral:lncRNA from 1 species
AUUGCAAUCAUGGACUCUCUGCAGCUCUGAUUGUCUUCAGAAGACCAACACAAGAUUGGGCCUGCCAGAAAUUCACCAUGGAUGGGGAAGGGGCCCAUGAGGCUCCACCCAUUCCUAAGGGACUAUGGUUAGUGAACAGGCAAGACAUGCUAAUGAAACUCAGUGGACCCCACAAAGGUAGACAUGGAAGUGUGAGGAAGACUUGUUGGGAAGAAAGAAGGAGAGGGAGGGGUUAAAAACAACUAAAAUUUGUUAUAUGAAUGAAAGAAAGUAUUGAGCAAUUAAAAAAUUAUUAGAAAGAAAGGUAAGAGAACUGGAAGGGGGAAGUAUCUUAGUGGUUAAAUGCUCUGCUCUCUAAAAUUCUAGAAAAAGAACUUUGGGAUGCUAAUGCAUAGGCCGUGUGUUCCAUACUCUCUAUUCAAGUUAGGGAAGACUAAAUAUGCAGCUCUGUUUUAUGAAAAGCUGGUGGUAUUUCACAGUCUAAAAAAGCCUUUAUUUCCAAAGCCCUAUACAAGAAUGACCUCAUUUUACCCUGUACCAAUUCAAGACGUCCUUUAUCUGCUGGGAGGACUCACGUAGGAAUGACAAAUUGAAUCAGACCAUGAGGCAACUCUGUAAAUUGUUGAAAAAUAAUGCCUUGACGUGCUCAGCUUUCUGAGUUCCUCUGUGUAUUUUCCCAGGAGAAAUGAGGCAUUUCUUUCACACUUGCUGAGAAACAAGAUAAACAAAGUAAUUAUGACUUCAUGUUUAAUUUAAUACAGCAUUUAUCUUCCACACAUACAUAACUCUGCUCUCCCUUUAUUUGAUGGCUUAUGUGGCCAUGUGUGUAAACCUCAGGCUCCUUUAUUUAGUUCCCAGCAAUGUGCAAUGUCCAUAGCUCUACUACACAACUGUCCUUUAGAGAGAAUCAUCUUAAUAAAAUCUACUGUGUUCACUUGAUGAUUCUGUAGAUGUUGUUCUUAACUAGCAUUUCAACAGAUAAAAUCGCUUAGCGUCAGGAGUUUGUAACUCUUUGUUUGAAUGAAAUAUUUUAGAAAAAACAAAUCCUCUGUAAGUUUGGGUAUAAUUGUUUAAUUAAUUAGGGAAUGAGAAGAAAGAAAUCAUCACUUCCUGGCAAGAUGCCACUGUCUUAUCAUCCAUAAAUAAGUAUUAAUAAGUAGCAGAUGUACACAAAGGAAAAAUACAGCAGCAAUGGUCAGAACAUAAAUCAUGGAUGCAUAUUACACUUCACUUUUCUGAGGAUUUUUGUAUCUGCUGUCUCAUUUCAUCCUUUGCUUCUUUAAAGAUUUGUUUAUUUUUUUAUGUAUGUGAGUACAGUGUAGCUGUAUAGAUGGUUGUGAGUCUUCAUGUGGUUGUUGGGAAUUGAAUUUUUAAGGCCUCUGCUCACUCCAGUCAACCCUGCUAGCUCCGGUCAACUCUGUUUGUUCAGUCCCUGCUUGCUCCAGCCCAAAGAUCUAUUUAUUAUUAUACAUAAGUACAUUGUAGCUGACUUCAGAUGCAUCAGAAGAAGGCGUCAGAUCUCAUUAUGGGUGGUUGUGAGCCACCAUGUAGUUACUGGAAUUUGAACUCCAGACCUUCAGAAGAGCAGUUAGUAUGCUUACCUGCGGAACCAUCUCAUCAGACUCUUCGCUUCUUCUUUUUUUAUUAGAUAUUUUCUUCAUUUACAUUUCAAAUGCUAUCCCAAAAGUCCCCUAUACCCUCCCCCGACCCUGCUCCCCAACCCACCCACUCCUGCUUCUUGGCGCUGGCAUUCCCCUGUACUGGGGCAUAUGGUCUUCGCAAGACCAUAUUUGAGGGGCCUCUCCUCCCAUUGAUGAAUGACUAGGCCAUCUUCUGCUACAUAUGCAACUACAGACACAGCUCUGGGAGGUACUGGUUAGUUGCCAUUUGUGAAUAGGAGACCCAAAGUCCAAAAAUGUUCAUCUUUUCAAAACACAAUAAAAGUUUUGAUCAUCUGUAAAGAACAUCACUUUGAUGAUACCAUUGUGAACAAUAUUUGUGAGUUGAUAGACAAACCCAUUUGACUAAUAGAAUGACUAUGAAGCACUAUAAAAAUUUGGUGAAAAAUAAACCAUGACAAAUCUUAUAGUGCAUAAAAUCAAUAAGGCAGCCAUGCAUCUGACUCAGAAAAUGUGUGCAUUUCUAUAGUAUGGAAAAAAGUUCAGAGUCUACAAGCAUUCACUGAGAGAAGAUAGAUGUUUCCAGAAUCUUCUGCUGUGUUUAUUAAACACAAAUGUCACCACGGUGACUUGAUUGAUAAACAUGCUUAUCAUGUGACCAUCAGCAUCUUCGUUUGGAUCUCAGCAACCUUGUAAACGGUGCAUAUAGCAGCAGGACUGUGAUCCCUGCAUUGUCGAGAUGGAAAGAGUUGCUGGAGGUCAAUAGAAAGCCAUUCUAGAGCACCAGUGAACUCCAUGUUCACCAGGAGACAGAGUCUGGCUCCAAAGUAAGGUGAAGAAGUCAUUGGGAAAACACUCUCAGUCACCUUCUGGCCUCAAUACACAUGUGCACAUGCCUCCCCACACAUGCCUGCCCAUCCACAAGUACACACACAUAAGUGUAGACACACACACACAAGAAAAAUAAGAAGCACGUCAGUGUUAGUGAGCGUAGCAAAGAUGUAAACAUAGGAAAAGCAGAUAUAAAUCAUACUUAAUAAUAAAACAUUUAUAUAACUGUAGACACAACCAGAAAAAUGACAGCUGACCCUGCUGUGACAUGAAUGAACAUGAGGAGAAUGGAAUAAUAAGGAGACAGUGUGUUUGAAAGCAUGAAGGGAGAUGAUUGCAAAGAUUAACGGGACAAUGAGCAACAACAAGAGGUGCACUCAUCACUUUUGUCAUUGCUGUGGCAAAAUACCUCUCCCUCCACC